rnacentral:rRNA from 1 species
UACGGAGGGUGCAAGCGUUGUCCGGAUUUAUUGGGUUUAAAGGGCGCGUAGGCGGUCAACUAAGUCAGUGGUGAAAGGCAGCAGCUCAACUGUUGCACUGCCAUUGAUACUGGAUGACUUGAGUACAGACGAGGUAGGCGGAAUUUAUGGUGUAGCGGUGAAAUGCAUAGAUACCAUAAAGAACACCGAUUGCGAAGGCAGCUUACUAGGCUGUAACUGACGCUGAGGCACGAAAGCGUGGGGAUCGAACAGG